rnacentral:rRNA from 1 species
CCUACGGGUGGCAGCAGUGGGGAAUAUUGCGCAAUGGGCGAAAGCCUGACGCAGCGACGCCGCGUGAGGGAUGAAGGUCUUCGGAUCGUAAACCUCUGUCAGCAGGGAAGAACGGUCACUGUGCUAAUCAGCAGUGAAUUGACGGUACCUGCAAAGGAAGCACCGGCUAACUCCGUGCCAGCAGCCGCGGUAAUACGGAGGGUGCGAGCGUUAAUCGGAAUUACUGGGCGUAAAGCGCUCGUAGGCGGUAUGUCAAGUCAAGGGUGAAAUCCCCGCGCUCAACGUGGGAACUGCCUUUGAUACUGGCAAACUGGAGUGUGUGAGAGGAUAGUGGAAUUGCAGGUGAAGGAGUGAAAUGCGUAGAUAUCUGGAGGAACAUCAGUGGCGAAGGCGACUAUCUGGCACAUAACUGACGCUGAGGAGCGAAAGCGUGGGUAGCAAACAGGAUUAGAUACCCUUGUAGUC